GACGAACGCUGGCGGCGUGCUUAACACAUGCAAGUCGAACGGAAAGGCCCCUUUGGGGGUCCUCUAGUGGCGACCGGGUGAGUAACACGUGAGUAACCUGCCCUUGACAUCUGGAUAACUUCGGUAAACUGGGGCUAAUACCGCAUAGAAAUCCUUGCUGCUUGGGGGGGGUUCGAAAGCUUCUGGGGCUUUGGAUGGACUGGCGGCUUAUCGGCUUGUUGGUGGGGUGGUGGCUUACCAAGGCUUUGACGGGUCGCCGGCCUGAGAGGGUGACCGGCCACAUUGAGACUGAGAUACGGCCCAGACGCCUACGGGAGGCAGCAGUGGGGAAGAUUGCACAAGGGGCGGAGGCCUGAUGCAGCAACGCCGCGUGCGGGAUGACGGCCUUCGGGUUGUAGACCGCUUUCAGCAGGGGCGACGCUUGUGGUGACGGUACCUGCAGAAGAAGCACCGGCUAACUACGUG
rnacentral:rRNA from 1 species